UUAAAGCUACCAACCGGCUUCA
rnacentral:miRNA from 2 species